AGGAGAUAAUGAUAUACUACAAUCUCUCUUCACUACUUUGCCUCACCAACAAUUAAAGAGAAGUUACUGAGAGGUUCUCAGUGGAUUAGGAACCACAUUGGAGACCACCAUCUGCUUUACUCGCAUUAGGACAAGAUUUUACCUGGGUCAGUAUGUCAUCAAGGAGUCAGAAAACAACGAGUAGUCUCCAGAUGCUGCAGUCCAGUGUGAAAUGGCACCACAUGUGCAUGCAUGAGAGAGGGAAGCACCAAAAGAAGUCUGAUCACAUUGUGAUCAACAUACAGCUGUCCAGCUCC